rnacentral:rRNA from 1 species
CCUACGGGAGGCAGCAGUGGGGGAUAUUGCACAAUGGGGGAAACCCUGAUGCAGUGACGCCGCGUGGGUGAAGAAGCGCCUCGGCGCGUAAAGCCCUGUCAGCAGGGAAGAAAAUGACGGUACCUGAAGAAGAAGCCCCGGCUAACUACGUGCCAGCAGCCGCGGUAAUACGUAGGGGGUAAGCGUUAUCCGGAUUUACUGGGUGUAAAGGGGGCGCAGACGGCGGUGCAAGCCAGGAGUGAAAGCCCGGGGCCCAACCCCGGGACUGCUCUUGGAACUGCGUGGCUAGAGUGCAGGAGGGGCAGGCGGAAUUCCUGGUGUAGCGGUGAAAUGCGUAGAUAUCAGGAGGAACACCGGUGGCGAAGGCGGCCUGCUGGACUGCAACUGACGUUGAGGCCCGAAAGCGUGGGGAGCAAACAGGAUUAGAUACCCCUGUAGUC